rnacentral:miRNA from 1 species
AGUCAGCCUGUUCUUUGAAGCUUUGAAGCCAGGCAUUGGCUUCUCUCUAGCUCUGAAAGUCCUAGAUGACAU